UACACUCCUACGGGAGGCAGCAGUGGGGAAUUUUGGACAAUGGGCGAAAGCCUGAUCCAGCAAUGCCGCGUGAGUGAAGAAGGCCUUCGGGUUGUAAAGCUCUUUUGUCAGGGAAGAAACGGUGAGAGCUAAUAUCUUUUGCUAAUGACGGUACCUGAAGAAUAAGCACCGGCUAACUACGUGCCAGCAGCCGCGGUAAUACGUAGGGUGCAAGCGUUAAUCGGAAUUACUGGGCGUAAAGUGUGCGCAGGCGGUUUUGUAAGUCUGAUGUGAAAUCCCCGGGCUCAACCUGGGAAUUGCAUUGGAGACUGCAAGGCUAGAAUCUGGCAGAGGGGGGUAGAAUUCCACGUGUAGCAGUGAAAUGCGUAGAUAUGUGGAGGAACACCGAUGGCGAAGGCAGCCCCCUGGGUCAAGAUUGACGCUCAUGCACGAAAGCGUGGGGAGCAAACAGGAUUAGAUACCCCUGUAGUCCCA
rnacentral:rRNA from 1 species